rnacentral:rRNA from 1 species
UACAGAGGGUGCAAGCGUUAUUCGGAUUUACUGGGCGUAAAGGGCGCGUAGGCUGUUUUAUAAGUCUGAUGUGAAAGCCCCGGGUUCAACUCGGGAUGUGCAUUGGAUACUGUAAAGCUAGAGUGCAGGAGAGGAGAGCGGAAUUCCUGGUGUAGAGGUGAAAUUCGUAGAUAUCAGGAGGAACAACAGUGGCGAAGGCGGCUCUCUGGACUGUAACUGACGCUGAGGCGCGAAAGCGUGGGGAGCAAACAGG